ACCUGGCUGGCUCAGUCAGUAGAGCAUGCAACUCUUGAUCUUGGGGUUGUGAGUUCAAUCCCCACGUUGGGUG
rnacentral:tRNA from 1 species